rnacentral:pre_miRNA from 1 species
GAUUUGAACUGAACAAGUCAUCAACAACAAAGUUGUAUAACUCAUCAAUAUCUAUAACUUUUAUUUUGGUAAUUUCUUCAUCCGACGAAGUGAUAGUAAUAUUAUUCACAAAAUUUACAUAUCUCUUACAUGGUUUUAUAAAAUAUAAGAGAUAUAUACAAAUUUUGUGAACAAUAUUACUGUCAUUUUAUCGGAUGAAGAAAUGACCAAAAUAAAAGUUAUAGAUAUUGAUGAGUUAUACAACUUUGUUGUUGAUAACUUUUUCAGUUGAAAUC